CCAGAAUGCAACGCUCCAGCUUUUCAAAUUGCAGGAAGGCGCGAGGAGUAAACAGACUAGUUCGCCUGCAAGAAAUGUACCACGUGAUGCAGUAGCCUGUUGAUGCUGGCAAAAGAUGCAAUCUGGAGGAUUUCAGGGUACGUUUUACUAUGCUUCAAUGUUAGGUGAGAUGAAUGUAAUGCAGUGUUUCCCAACCAGGGGUACGUGUACCACUAGGAGUAUGUUUUAUUUUAUGAAUAAAAACAAAUGUAUGGUCAUGAUCAUAUUGGGAUAGAGAACAUGAGUGAGGUGGUACUCAUACUAUGACAAAAAUGCUUAGGGGGUACUCAAGACGAAAAAGGUUGGGAGACACUGAUGUAUGCCCAGAUCAUGUACGCCCAGAGCAAAGUCACAGGCAGUGUGCUUCUCUUGCAUUCACAGACUGCCCAUGCUUUUUUAAAGAGAUAAGUUAGAAUGCUUUGCAUAUCUAUUUGUGUAGAGUUAAUCACCAAGACAAUUUCCAGAAGUUGUAUCCAGGUGUCAAUUGUGUCCUUGUUCUGGUGUUGUUAUUUUCAAACAGAGAUGGCUCUUGCUCACUGGCAGUGACUUGGGUCAUGUGAGACAGCAUCAGAGCUCGGGUGACAUCUCUCGCUCGGGUGAAAUCUCUCCUGGAAGAUUUCAAGGUGUGUGCAGAGUUCUGAAGAAUAAAAGUCAACAGUCAAGUUCUUCUCCAUAUUCUCCAAAUCU